UGCCAUCUCUCCUGAUCUGCAAAAGCAAUUCCAGGAAGAAGGGAAUAACAUCCCCUCAGAAAACCACAGUCUUAGCAGGUUAAGCAACUAGUUCAGUGUCACCCAGCUGGUAAGCAGAGAGGCAGGGCUGCUGGGAACAACGCUGGGUCGGGCGGGCAUUGCUGGCGCGAACUCACUCCAAGAGCAAGGGCAAAAGCAUGUCUGUGGUCGAGAGCCAAGUCCAGCUGGGAACCUACCUGUUGCUUAGGGCGCCUGGAAUGUGGGGGUGAUGGAGGAGUGGGGCAGCACCUGAGGCAGGAAGUGGGUGCUUCUGCCCCCGAACAGGGUAGGGAUGACGCUUCUCAACCUUGCCUCGGCAGCCUUGGAAGGAGGAGCCCAGGAAGCUCUGGUCUUGGCCGGGGCAGGGCAGGGCGAAUGGGCAAUUAGGUAGGACCUCUACUCCCUACAUCUCUCUCCCCAGCAUUCCUGUGGCUUUCUACACCUCAGGGCUGGUCUGCUUGCCCGAGGGGAAGGCCUUUCAGCUGCGGGGCUCCUACCUCCGAGGAAUUGUGCAAAGCAUCCCGUGAGUUACCAGCAAUGUUGUCAAGAUUCACCAAGCUUCACCGUUACUUUUCUGCCUUUAGAGGAAAGCAGCAUGGAAGGAGUGUUUUGUAGCUUCGGUCUCUGUCCAGCCUGCACAGGGAAGCCCGAGCUCUCCUACCACACAGUUUAGGGAUCAUCUGUACGUAGUACUGAGAAGCCGAUCUUACUCAGAAGCUCUGUCUGUGUGAAUUUAAGGACCAAGGCUUGACUUGAGGCACCGCCCCUGAGCCACUGCUCCAAGGUAGGCUCCUAAGUGAUCAGCUCCUUCAAAGCAGUCUAAAGCAGCAAGGAAAACUGCUGUCAGAAGAAUCAGAUAAAUGCUUAGGUCUGGGUCCAAAGUGACUGGUGUGUCCAGAUCAGGGGCGAUGGAUGGCCUUCCCACAGAAUGAAUGUUUGUUGAUAACGAAAUCACCAUUCUCUGCAUUGUGGUCUCACCGGUACCUGAGCUAUGCAAGCAGGCCUGCCCGUGUUUUACCUAAAUUCUACCCCAUUCAAAGUUGUGAGAUGAUCCAGUCCUUGCUCUCAGACCUCAGACCCUGCAGACAUCUUAAC